rnacentral:rRNA from 1 species
AGAGUUUGAUCAUGGCUCAGGACGAACGCUGGCGGCGUGCUUAACACAUGCAAGUCGAACGGUGAACCCGCUUCGGUGGGGGAUCAGUGGCGAACGGGUGAGUAACACGUGGGCAACCUGCCCUCAGCUCUGGGAUAACUCCAAGAAAUUGGGGCUAAUACUGGAUAUGACCGCUGACCGCAUGGUCUGGUGGUGGAAAGAUUUAUCGGCUGGGGAUGGGCCCGCGGCCUAUCAGCUUGUUGGUGGGGUAGUGGCCUACCAAGGCGACGACGGGUAGCCGGCCUGAGAGGGUGACCGGCCACACUGGGACUGAGACACGGCCCAGACUCCUACGGGAGGCAGCAGUGGGGAAUAUUGCGCAAUGGGCGAAAGCCUGACGCAGCGACGCCGCGUGGGGGAUGACGGCCUUCGGGUUGUAAACCUCUUUCAGCAGGGACGAAGCGAAAGUGACGGUACCUGCAGAAGAAGCACCGGCCAACUACGUGCCAGCAGCCGCGGUAAUACGUAGGGUGCAAGCGUUGUCCGGAAUUAUUGGGCGUAAAGAGCUCGUAGGCGGUUUGUUGCGUCGGCUGUGAAAACCUGAGGCUCAACCUCAGGCCUGCAGUCGAUACGAGCAGACUAGAGUGUUGCAGGGGAGACUGGAAUUCCUGGUGUAGCGGUGAAAUGCGCAGAUAUCAGGAGGAACACCGGUGGCGAAGGCGGGUCUCUGGGCAACAACUGACGCUGAGGAGCGAAAGCGUGGGGAGCGAACAGGAUUAGAUACCCUAGUAGUCC